UUGUUAUCUUUCAUAAGGUCCAUAGGCGGUAAAAAAGGUACAAGACCUAGGUUGGUGACCUUCAUUGCACUUUCUAGAGGCGCCCGCCUAAUGUUCGGCUCAAGUAAUCGAGCCUAUGUCAUAAUUUGUGGUAUUGGGCUCGUGGCCCUUACCCAAU